CCUAGACAAAUCUAAACAGAUAUUGCAAUCGAAGAAACUCCCAUCAUUUCCACUACCUUUCUCAUCAUCAUCUUUCUUCUCCGAUACUUCAUCUUCCAAAAAUCCAGUGUUGUUUUCACAUGUUUUGGGUACCUCAUUGGCUCUUUCCUCAGCAGCAACACUACCCUCACCUGUCUGUAAUGUACUUCCAUUAGCGGAAUGGCUGAGCAAUUGAUCCAAUUCCAUUGGAAGGUUCCUACUUUCAGGAGGGAUUGGAACCUGUCUCCAUCUAUACCGCUGUCGAGACCUCAACCGAACAGCUUCCCUAAGUCUAUCAAUAGGUUCAUCAACCCAAUCAUCCAAAUUCACAACCUCAGUGGGAAUUGAUCCUGACUGAGCCUCAGGACCAGGACCCAAAUUCAAAUCAAGAUUCAUUGUAUCGGAUGUCUCCUCACCCAUCUCAAACUGGACAAACCCAGAAAUAAAAAACCCUAAUUCCUCCACAAAUUUGAACAAAACCAGUCACAAAACCCACUCUUUUUCGACAAAUUCAAAAACCCCAAAUCAAAAAACACUUCCUUUAUCACUAAUUCUUCAAACCCAGAAAAAAAUCGCAACUUUAUAACAAAAUCUUUAAAAAUCCCCAAAUCAAAGAAACCCUAAUUUUAUGUCAACAAGAUGGCGACUUUUUUUGCAUCGAGGGUUUCCCCACAAUCAAUUCUCAGCAAUUAAGAGUUAUCAUUCCAAAAUUUGGUAAAAACACAUCGAUAAUUGUGAAUCAAAGACAGGAAAUUGAAAUUAAAGAAACCUGGGUUUUAAAGUAACGAUCUUGACGAUGGAACUCCGGACUAACUACUGUGACCCAGUUGAUAAGGCAGCAUCUAUUGCUCUGAACUUAGCUGGCUACGAGUUGACUCGCCAUCGAGUUUUAUUCUCUCAAAAUUGGCGAUCUCGUAUAGGAAAAAAGAAGAAGAUGAGCGUGCGACGUGAAUGAAUAAUACAAAGAGAGAGAAAAGACAAAAAAAAAAAAGCCUAAUCGUAUGCUUAUGUUUUUAAACGAGGCAUUUUAAGUUUUUUUGAUCUAGCGGUUGUAAUGCGAUUUGGGCCCAUAGUUGACGGUGAUAGUUCAGUUGUUAGGGUAAUCAGGCGGUUGAAAUGAAAUAUCAGGAAGAAAGAAAGCUGAAGGAGUAGUGAUGAUGUGAUGGUUGCUGAAUGCUGAUUGUGGUGGGUUGAGAAAUUAUCAGCUGUCACGCUCACACGCUCUGUGACAUUCCCGCUGCCAUUUGAGGAUUCAUUGAUACGAGUUAGAUUUUUAUUCGUCGCAUGAAAUCGUUUAGUAAUUGGCUAAUGUUAAGUUAUAUACUUAUAUACAUGUAACUUAGAGAAUCCUUACCAAUUAUAUUUAUAAACUUUUGUAUUGCAAGUUACACAUCAUCGAUCAGUAAUUUUUCAUUUAUAUAUAUAUAUAAUACUAGUUAAUUUUCACACGAUAAGAGUGAUUUUAUAGAAUGACACAUUAUUUAUUACGUCAUUUAUAUCCUAAUUUCAUGUGUAUAUAGCAUUACUCUAAUUAAUUUAAAAUGAAAAAUACUCGUUAUUCUGCAUUUGAAUUUCUUCAUUAUUAUUAUUAAUUAUAGGUCUGUCUUUAAUGUUGAAUUGCUGAUAUCUUUACCUUAAUUUUAAAAUACAUAUUAAUAAUAUAAUAUUAAAAAUUAUAGCUAUAAUUGUCAUAAUUCUUUGUUUAAUAUAAUAUUCUUGAUAAUUUUUUUGGUGUAAAUAUCCGCAUUGGAAUUUUUUUAAUGAUUAUCGUGUCACGGCCUUAGAAUGGGAAUGAAGGGACUUAUAGUGAAUAUAUAUAUAUAUAAUAUAAUAUAAUAUAAUAUAAUAUAAUUACUCUUUUGUCUUCUGUAUUUAGUCAGCUGAUCUUGCCAAUGAAAGCACCGAAGCAUAAUUUUAUAUAACAUUUUUAAAAAGCAACCUCUACAGGAUCAGAUAUUUUCCCAGGAUUGGGUAAUUUAUGUGCUUUACAGUUACCCUCAAACUUGGAUGAGAUAGAUAUUUUAUUGAAUUAAUACUGGAUUUAGCAAAGUAGGCCAAUUAUAUGAACUAAUCGAUGAAUAGACACAAAUUUCUUAUUUCUCAAGUUGGCUUCAAACUAACACUGCUUCAUGCCAGCUGACUCAUACAAUAUAAUUUUGCAGCCUAGCUUCCAUUAACUUUCUUACAAUCUGCUCUAAUUUCUCCAUUGCUCCCCGUUAAUGGGCUAAUAUUGCCCAUGUUAAUCAUAGACUGAACGAACUGUUGGAAAAAUGCUGUUUGGUUGCUAGCAAAAUUGUUCACAAUGGCGACAAUAGCAGCAGGACCAUUUGUUGAAAAUAGCUCUUGGUCUGAUUGCAAAAGCCCUUGAUUGUUUUGAAGAUUUGUGUAGUAAUUAUUGUCAAAAGUAUCUGCUGUUGUGGGAUCGAGAUUCGCUAGCGCCGAGCCAUUACCAUUUUGUGGGCAAAUUUGCCGCAGAGUUGUCAAAUACGUUCCGUUUACCGUUGGGUCUGGGUUGCCCGUGCCAUUGAAAUUGUACAGCCUGCCGCUGAAUACUCGACAUUGUGCACGUCCGAAAGUAUGUGCCCCUGCAAAAUUGCACAUACACACAAUCAAUACUGCUCCUGAAGUUGCAACAAUGUUCCUAAAUUAGCUUAUAAAGUGCCGAUUUUCCUACUGCGGCAUAGGACACUGGUUGUAGAUUAAAUCCGCACUUUAUAAGUUACAAGCUUCCGCACCUAAAAACGACUAUGUGUAUUUAUGAUUACCGGAUAAAGCAACAAGAUCGGUAGUGUCUAGACCAACGGCAGAGAAUUUAGAAGUGAGGUUGCUUAAGCUGUCAAUAGGAGCAGGAAUAGAGGAAUUUGCUCCGCUUUGAUUUGCCCUUAAACCGUCCCUCCUUCCCAAUAGUACAUUCCAUGAAGGGCCUCCUGCCUGAAAAUCAACAGAAUUAGUUAUUCUUAAUUAUAGGGUCAAUAUAAAUUAAAGUCAUAUUUAAUUAACUAAUUAAGUUACCAAAGAGACAGAAGACUCAGCAGCAAGAGCUAGAAUGUCAGCACAAGAAACAACACCGGGGCAAGAAUUCUCGACAGCAGUCUUGAUGUUGUCGACAACACCAAACCCUCUGGCCGAAUUAGUGUUAGGACCGCCAUCUUUCUCGCUCUGUGUUAUGUUUCCGCCUCUGUCUAACAAAACCGAACCGUCACACCCCUGAAACAAAGAACGAUUUUAAUUAUUAUUGUAAUUGAUUCUGAAGAUUUUUUUUUUAAAAUAAGUAAAUUAAUGGAGGUUAUGAAUUCGAGCAUGAUUGAUUACAUUAACGAAGCAAUCGUGGAAAUGGAGGCGAAUGAGGCUGGCGCCGAUUCUGAUGUCAGAUUACAUGGCUUGCUGCAGAGCAUUGCGCACAAUGGUGGUCACAUUCGGACAUGUUGUAGCAUAAAAUGAGGAGUUCAGUUGAGCCUGUGAGUUACUGAACAACAAUGUUAUGAAAAUGGUGGCUACUGCUAUUGAAGAAGUGAACGAAUAGAAUGACAUUUUUGUUUCGAUUUGUUUGUUGAUCAAAGAAAUUUUCUCUCUUGAUUAGUGGAGUGUGUAGCGAACAUUUGGCUGCAACUUAUAGACAAACUGCCUCGUCAAAAAGUCUAGGGUUUGGUAACUUAUGGCCUAAAAUAAUGAAGCGAAUUAGUCAGCAACAAUAAGAAAUCUGAUUUUGGUAUCAAAAAUGUUUUUUAUUUAGAAACAUUACUCGUGUACAGAGCACAUUUGUUGUAAAAAAAAAAAACAUUAUUUUGAGUAUUCUACUAUUCUAGACUUUUGAAUAGCGCGUUGGUUGCAAAAAUAUUGAAAGCAACAGAUUAAUAAAGAAAGUAAAUAUAAACUAUGAAUUUAUCAAAUUGAGUUACUAAUUGAAUUGGGAGGAUGAAAGUUCAAUGAACAUUCUAAAAUUUGAUUGAUUCCCCUGAAUAAGCAUUUGUUGAUCGCAUUAAUUCAACUCAAAUCGGAAAAGUACAGUCUGGCUUUCUACCCAGUUGAAUCUUUAAGAGUGGAUAAAAUACUUAAAUACAAUAUCAAAAUGGAGUUCUAAAAAAAUUAGAUUAUAUUAUUUGUAUCCUCAAUUUCUGGAUUUUUCAAAUAAGGAUAUAGUUUGUCCAUUUGAGAUAAACAGGUCCCUAUUCAAUUGCGGCUGAGGGGCACUCUGAAAGUGCUGUGCUGUGGUAACCAAAUAGCUUGGCUACCACAAUGCAGCUGCAAAAUGAAAAUUUCUUAAUGUGUCAGUUGGCAGCUGUAAUUUGUAUUUGGAAGUGCUGCAUUGUGACAGUAAAGCUGCUAAAGGGAGUUUUAGAAUGAUUGAAUAUACUUUUCUUGAAUUUAUAUAUUGGCAAUAUUCUGAAAUGUAGUCUGGGACAAUUGAAAUGUGCCUCACUUGAAUUUACAUAUUUUACCGUUUUUAUUUCAAAAAAUUGAGAAUUGUAAAGGUAAUUUGGUUAGAUAAACUGAGGUUAGAUGAUAGACUUACUUUAAAUGAAUAAUAAUAAAAAAAAACCUUAGGGGCUUAGAUGAUAAUUCUUCAAAUCAAAAUUAUUGUUUUCUGAAAUUGUACUUUUCAGCUAAUGGAACCCAGUUGUUUUCUUGUAAAACUAUCGAACGCGUAAAUCACAGAGUAUGAAUAACUGGAGUCUCAAUUGAUAUGAUAAAUCAAAAGCGUCGGUGGAAACUGUCUCAAAUCUUUAUCAUAUUCAUAAAUAGGAGGAGGAGGAAACUUAAAGAACAAGACUUGCUACAGCUGCCCAUAGCUCGGCUGAACUGAAUCCACCAAUUGCGCGAAGAAUCUUUAUUAAUUGUCUGCUCAAACUUAGUGUCACCUUGACAUCGACGUUUAUGAUUACUGUUGGGAAACAUCUUUCUUGCUGGUCUUGUUGAUUUGAAGUGGCAAAGCUAUUCCAUAUAUGUACUGUUUUUUUUUUUUUUCUAGUGGCAAAGCUAUUCCAUAUAUGUACUGUUUCUUGCUGGUCUUGUUGAUUUGAAGUGGCAAAGCUAUUCCAUAUAUGUACUGUUUUUUUUUUUUUUCUAAAUAAUUAGGUAUUUUUACUUUCUUUGCGCUUGUUUAUGAAUAAGUUGUCCGCAAACUGAGGGAGUUACAGGGUUUCGUGUACAAAAAAAUUUCUCAUUGAAAUGGAACUAUCGGGUAACAUGUACUGUAAAAUCAUAUUCACAUUAUUAUAUAUGCAUGAUGGUAUGACUUGAUCUCAUGUACUAAUGUAGAGUAAUAUAACACAUCAUAAAAUUCCGUGUAUCCUUGAUCAUCGAUCGCUAUCAAUUUGAUAGUCAUUUUGUUUGAAGAAAUGUAAUCGAUUUUGAUGGUGCCUAACAUAUAUAUUUAAAAGAUCGUAUUAAUAAAAAAAAAAAACUAAAUUUUGAUUGAACCUGCAGCUUGAACUCAUGUUUUAAUCAUUUCUACUUACGAAUGAUAUUUAGAAGAGAACAAUUCGGCUAACUGCGAUCACAUUGCAUCUUGCAAAACGUACAUGUAGCACCAUCGACAUUUUGUUAAAGAAAAUGUUAAAGAGAAAAAAAAGGAAAAGAAAAAAAAAAACAAAGACAAAGUAAAAUGAUGAUUGCCAUAAUAAUAUCGAAAAAGUAAUGCCAUGUUCUUGAACAAGUGCUUAAUUAGAAUAAUCGAGUGGCCGUCAAUUAAAAAGAGCCCGUGUCUAGGGUUCGGUAGAAUAGACAUUAGAGUGGUUGUUACUUGACAACAAACUUUGAAUCCAUACGCAUGCUUGACUAUAAUUGCCCAAUCACUUGAUCUAGAUUUGUUUUAUUAUCUUAUGGAUAAAAUUAUAUUAUGAAUCUGUUUUCUUUAAAAGCAAACUAGUAUUCAAUAAAUUAAAGAGUACAUCAUGAGGAGAACCAAAAUGGCAAAUUCUUUUUUUUUGGAGAAUGGGAGGGUAUUUGCUUUUGAGAAUGUUUUUGCGUUGAAUUUUAAUCAUAUGUCCCUCUCAACGCGGUGCAUGGAUUGAUGGAUACAACGAGAGUGGUAAACUACAUCCAUCUUUGUCCUUUUUUCCCAAGUUUAUAUUCAAUUUAAAAGAAAUAAAGUUCCUGUGAUUUCAAAGAUCCCAUGUUGGUUCGAUAAAAGUAGGUACUUUUCAAGUGUGGAUUUUGUAAUGUAAUAUAGUUUUAAGUUAAAUAAAUAUUCAGUUUUAUUCAACAACUAUUACAAUUUUAUAUUUUACUUGGUACAAGGAGUAUGUUGAAACGAGAAUUCAUAAUAGUCCUUAUAUUGUAAGAUUUAUACCGUUUUGUAAAUAUAAAAAAAGCAGUGGAUAUUAACUCGUUCAACUGAUAAAACUUUUUGUGUUGAAAAUGAAAGGUCUGUAUUUAAAUUUAAAUUCCACUCACAUAAACAGAGAGGGAAUUUGAGUUGUCAUUAAACUAAAUAAAAAAAAAAAGGAGCGACAAUAAAUCAGGGAGCGAGAAAGACUCUUUCCUCAAUGCAAUAUAAUUUAUAAUGAGAAAAUUGUGGAGAGUGGAGUGAAUCUUGUAGAAGAGAUCCCUGGGGAUAUGGCAAAUAUUGGUUGUCUUUUCAAGUCUCUCUUGCUGAAAAAAUGUUGAUCUUCUGCAUAAUAUACUAUCAAUUGGAUAUAAUUAAAAUGUUUUGCUCUAGUUUUUGGUACACCCUUGUGCUUUUUAACUCAAUGGGAACAAUCCAACGACAGAUAUUUGUUUUAGGAAUUUCAUCGAGCAUUUUACGCAUAGAAAGUUCGGGCUCGGAGAGUGGGCAAGUGGGUCAAACAAGCUAAGCUGUUGUUGAUCAGGAUGUGCUAGGAGUCAUCCCACGUGAAACAGACAUAGCCAAAGUCAUCCUUUGUGAAAUAAAGUCUACGAUAAGUCACACAUCCAUGUCGACCAUGAAUGACAAAUUUCUUAAUUUUAUUUUCUUAUUGAUUUUCAAUUUCAUUUCUGUUAAAUUUAGAGAAUUUACUUGGUAAAUAAUUGUUUUCAUUUUCAGUGGGUAAACUAUCUUUUAGUAUACAUUUUUAAUAAAUUUUAUCUCUGUAAGAACGUAGUGCUUUAGUCGCCAAAAAAAAAAAUUUAAUUAAUUUACUGCAAAAAAUAAGUGGUCGUCCAUGAUCUUCUUGGUUUAUAUAGGCUAGUUGUAGAUUGCAGAUGAUCAAUAGGAGGUUAAGAUUACUCACUUUCAAACGUGUAUGAUCAUAUUAAUGGAUGUUUGAUCAUAGUAGCUUAUCUCAAAAAAGAUACAUGGAGCGAAAUAGACAGAAAUAGAGGAUGAUAACAAAUUGAAGAAAGAUUAAAAAAAAAAAAAAAAAAGUCAAGUCUGGACCGGACGUCAGAGAUAGAUGGAAGCCAAAUAUUAUUUUUAUUCAUAACUAAUGAUUCAAGCUAUCAUGAUGGUAGUUUCUUGUAGUUGAGUACUGAAAAAAAGCUUCUUUUUGUUUGGCAUAUUUGUAAAUUAAGCUCCUGCGGGCAGCUUCCUUUUCUUACAUGUGUAAUUAAUGAGUGAACCGAAAUGAGUAGAAAUGAGUAAUGGUUUUUAUACCAGAAGAAAUGGGACAAUUAUCAUUAGUUCUCCGGCUCUCUGCGCUAACAAAGCACGUCACCGCAACUAACUAGAAGUUGGAUAAUUAAAAAAUUCCUAUCGUUUCUUUUUAUUCUUUUAUCUUCUUGCUUCUUUUUCUACAUAUUCAAGCAACUCUGGUUGAACCAUCAGUCAACGUUUGCAAUCACAGGAACAGAACUGUUUCAGCUUUCAUAUUUGUGUUUCCAGAACUCUCUAGCUUGUGAUGCUUGCACUAAAACUGUUGUUAGGUCAAGAAACUCUUCGUUGAGGAGGAUAUAUUUAACCAAAAGUAAUUAAUUUAGUGCAAUCGAUCUAAUCGAUAUGCAUGAUGCUAUUCACCUUUGGAAAAUUUAAAGUGGUCGCACUGCCGCCCAAUAAGAUUGAAAAGUGCAAAAUGCACAAUUGCCAGGUACUUUACGUUUGUUUGGUCGAAUUUGGCAACUAAUGAUAUGAUUCUUGCUUAAUUAUAAAUACAAGAUGUGCGGUGUGCUCUUUAUUUCCUGGAAUCUUGUGGCUCGAUCAUUCCACUCAAAGGUACCUCUUCCCGAGUGGACAAAACAGAUUGCCACAAUUGCUUCAAGUUGACAAUUUCUAGUUAUAAGUUUUUGUUAAUCGUUUGUGUCAAAUCGUAUGGUCACUCUAUUACCAUUUUGACAACAAAUAGAAAUGAGAUGAAACAAAUAGGGAAUUAAAUUGAUUGCGCAUGCAUUGCAAAGAGUAAAGUUAUGAGAAUAUAUCAGCCACUCAGAGAGUAUCUAGUCCAAUUGUUCAGAAUAUCCUAGCCUGGCCUUCUCAUUUUGGGCCAACAUAUUCUGUAUUUCCUAGCCCAUUGUGAUUUUGAUUUGGAAUAAAUUUCACUGACGAAUCAGUGGAUCACCAUGUUCCUAAAAUUUUGAGAGCAAUUGAUUUUCUUUUCUUAAAUGGUUACAAUUCAAAGAUACCUGCAAUCUGACAUUCACUAAAAUUCAAUAUGUAUUCAAUAUAUAUAUACAAUUUGGCUAAUGCUAAGUUACAUGCAUGUACCUUACACUCCUCUCACAUGAAUAGUGAAUGAUGUGGGUCCACUCACUAUUCAUGUGAGAGGAUUGUAAGGUACAUGCAUGUAACUUAGAGGGAUCCAUACAAUUUUAGUAUAAUUUAAGAGAUCUACCAAGUAUUAGUCCAGAAAUCUAUUCCCAUAAAUUAUCUUUGACCGCAAAGAUGGUAAAUAAUAAAGAAGAAGUAUCUGCUUUAGGUCAACAUAUAUAUAUGUCUGCUGAUAAAACCCGAAGGGUAAUUGAUCAAAUUCAUGGACGUUCUUACGAAGAUAAUGAUACUUGUACCCCUUGCCUUAUCAAGCAUGUUAUCCUAUUUUAAAAUUGGUUUCGUUCCUACUACCAUCUACUAAAAUCACAUCACAUGUACAUUCACUUCAAACUUUUUUUAAAAAAAUAGAGAUAUAACAAUAUUACACUAAUUUUCAUUUCAAAUUCUAAUAUAACACUCAUUCAUUGAAUGAUAAAUUUUAAAAUUUAGAAAAUUACGUACUUUUCCCUUGCAAUUUUUGCCAUUCUAUACAUGAGUGUAGAGUGCUACCUCAUUUGAUAUAGUAAAUGUUAAGACCUACUUAGAAAGUGUUUUGUUGACUUCCAAAAAAAUUAAAAUUAAAAUUAAAACACAUAACAUAAAUAUAUGUAGCUUCUCUUUGUUGAAUUAACGUGUGUGUGUGUGUAGAUAGAUAGAUAGAUAUAGACACACACAUAUCAAUUGAAUUUCAAUGAGUAGCUUUUAAGUAAUUUUCAUUAGUAAGUCAUUUGGGUUUGAAUGUCGAGAGAUGUGGAAAUCUGAAAAAUUAAUUUUCUUUUAUUCAAUUAUAUAGAACCACAUGAAUAUAAAAUUUAAUAAAUAAAAGAGUAUACGCCUUAAAAUUCUUGAGUGUUCCUGAACUAUGUUUAUUUUCCAUUCACUCACUCAUUAUUAUGUGUAUGAUUCAACUAAUUCUGAUAACAUAUAUAUUGAUAUACAUAUGUAGUGAAUAAUAUAUGGAUAAAUAACAAUAUUAUAUUCCAUGAUCACCAAACAACUUUUCGUAUACACCACGAGCAACAAGAUACUCUGCAUCGCAGCAGCUGGCUGGCCCAACAUGUUGGUGGGCCGGCCAGCCUAGUUUACAGUACCUUGGCAGCAGCCGCGCAGUCAUUAACAAAGACUUCAACUAAAUAUAAUAACAAUAAAUUAAGGAGUCAAAAAUGAGAGAGGAGCAGCGGACUCACAGAAAGGAAAAUAAAUAAUAAAAAAAAAGGGAAAAGAAAAGAGAGAGCAUCUCGGUCGUUGUUAACGUGGGACCCACGCCCGGGUUCUAAAAAGUAUAAACGAUAAAACUACCCACUCCCAUCAUUUUGUAUUCUCUCACUCCACACAGAUUCCACCCUGGCACUCCCGCCUCGUCCGUACCCAGUCGCCUCCGCUUACAAUCCCUCCUCUCCUUCACCGGCUACUCCCCUUAACCGGUCACCGUCCGCACGUGCCACUCUCCCGUCCUACACGUGUGUUCCUCCUCACUAUUCCUUUCUUUCUGUGGUGCAACAAAUAAAAGUUAAGAGAGAGAAGAAAAAACAAAAAUAAACAUAAAAAUUUUCUUGGUCUUGGUGUUGUUGUUGUAUGCAUAGUGUGUAAUUAUUUCGAGCCUUGCACUCCUCCUCCUCCUCCUUCUCCUCCUUCCUUUUGUUGUGUGUUUGAUUUGUCAUCAGAAUCAAGAUUGAAAAUCCUUUUACUCUCUUGAGCACACCAUCACCGCCGAUGAGGAUCAGGAAAAGACAGGUACCCUUACCACUCUCUUCUUUAUCUCCUAUUCCCAUCUCUUCAGAUCCCCACUAUAACGGCUCUCCGGUGGUGCAACUUCACCCUGGCCACGACCCACAUCAGAAUCUCCCCCAGCAAGCUGAUGCAGUUUGUUCUCAGCCGUCUGAUCAUUCAAAUCAACCGAUCGGAAGCGGAAACACCCUCGAUCAAAUGGAUAAAGAUUGUUUGGUGAGUGCACUUCUGUUUAAUGUGGUGUAACAUAAAGAUAAAAUAUAUAUAUAUAAAAAAAUGCUAUCUUGGAUUUGCACCAACAAAGGCUAAGGCUUUUUUGGGUUAGAAUUUUUAUUUUUUAUUUUUUAUUUUAUUUUUCACAGGUUUUGGAAGAUGAGAAUGGAGAGAAGAGUGAUGAUAGCAGGUAAGAAAGUUAAAUACAUCUUUCAUGAAAAAUCAAUCUUGUAGUAAAAAGGUUAAAAAGAAAGGAGACCCAUAAAUUGAAUUUAGUCUUUUUCUAUUUUACCCACCUAAUAAAGAAUUAAAAAAUAAAAAUACUGUAAGUGGAAAUACUGUGUUAGGGGUGUUUAAUUUUUAUAUCAGCUUUGGCUAGGCAGGCUAGCCACCAUACCUUACCUUCCCAUCUAAUCUAAUCUUGUAGUCAUUUUUUUUUUCUUUCUUUUUCUUCUAUAUUUGGCUAACUAAUAUAUUUGCUUCAUGCGGUGCACGUUAGCAUGUGACUUAUGGUCCCCAUCUUACAAUAUAAAUCUUGGCUCCUACUCUAUAUAUUUCCAUUUCCUUUUCUUUUUGGCUAUUAUAAUUAUUAUUAUUUUUUGUGUAUGUGGUUGUCGAUGCAUCUUUUUUCUUUCUGGGUUUGAUUUUGAUUUGUUAUUAGGAAGAAUAGCAUCUUGGGUGCAGAAAUAGCUGCCGCUGGAGUUCUUUCUCAAUUGAGUUCUUCGCAUCAUGGUAAUUCUAUUAUUAAAAGAUGGAAAAUGAUAAUUCCAGGAACAUGAAAUAUUGGGUUUUCAUUUCAUGCAUUUUGUUGUUUUUGAAUAAUUGCACUUUUGCAAUAAUGCAUGUAGUUGUUGGGAGAUGGCGUGAGGGAGAGAAAGCGUUCCCAUUGAAGAAGAGAUCGUCAAGAAGAGAGAAUGAUGAAGAUAAUUUUAAGAAAAUGAAGACGAAAUUGAAUAACAAGAAAUUUGCUGGUAAUGAUCAGCAAGAACAAGGAGAACAAGAAGAAGAAGAAGAAGAAGAAGAAGAAGAAGAAGAAGAAGAAAGAGAAGUAACAAAAGAGAGUGUUGAUAAUAAUAGUACUAGUUCAAAGAAUAAAAGAGGUACUAAAGGCGGUGCAAUAAUGGAGGGCUCGAGGUGCAGUCGUGUGAAUGGUCGAGGAUGGAGAUGUUGCCAACAAACCCUUGUGGGUUACUCUCUUUGUGAGCAUCAUUUGGGCAAGGGAAGAUUGAGGAGCAUGAACAGCGUUCGUAGCCGCUCGUCUAAUUUGGGCAGUUCUGCAUCGAGCAACAAGAGUACUGCUACUACUGCUGCCGCUACUAAUAAGCUUGCAAUAUCGAGCUCUCCAUCCACGACGACGUUGCAGGAAAGCAAAAUGAAGCAAGAACUUGUUUCAGAUGAUGAUGAGAAGCCGUUGAUGAUGAGUGCAAAGAAGAGAGUGAAGCUUGGGAUGGUCAAAGCUCGAUCGAUAAGUAGCUUGUUGGGUCAAAAGGAUAAUAAUGACAUUAUUGCUGCUGAUAAUAUAUAACAUGCCUAGGGCAUGCAACUAAACCAUGCGUUAUUUCAUGUUAAUUGUGAAGCAUUUUGUGCAUCUGUUUUUUCAACUUCAUAAUGAUCUUGUUUUUGAGAUUUCUUGUUAUUAAAGAAGGGAUUUUUGCUUUGGGAAAGCGUUUCAGUGCUUUGAUUUUGUUAUCAUAUGACUGAAUGGGUUUAAUAUUAAACAAGUGUAUGUGACUUUUGUUUUUUCAUUUUAAUUUGAUGCUUCAUUAUCAGGCCAAAAUUUGUUUAUAAUUUUAACCACAAAUUAAAUAUUAUAAUAUGGGGGGAAAUAACAUUGGGGAGGCCCUUACUGUAUCUCUUUUGACCAAAUGAAAGGACACGAAACUCUUAAUGAAGGAAAAUCGGAUAAUUAGUAAUUAAUAUUACUAAAAAAAGAGAAAUAAACCCUGUCAUUAUUGUAAUUACUCUCAAAUUUAGUCACGGCUUUGUUGAGAUAUUAAUGAUGUGUCUCCAUCGAUUGAAACAAUUCUCUAGAUUAACCUAUUAGUCGUUGAUUUACACAGGGUUUUUGAAGUUAUAGCUGAAAGUUUCCACGUAUAUAUAGUACUGAAGUCAGUAAUUAUCAAGAAAAUGCCAAUGAAAUGAGAAAUAGCCACUAAUUUCUUGCUAAAAUCCAUUACCAUGGUUGGACAAUGGGAUCUGUUUUAAGUAAAUAAUUUGUACACCACUGACCAAUUUCAUACCUUUGCUGAGCGGCGGCUAUUAUAUGGUAUCAGUCAACAACAAGGGAUUAUAUUAUAUCAUAUUGAGAACUUGUUGUUAAUUUACUCAUGAAAGUUAAAUUGCGAAUGUUGAAAUUAGGAGAGCACUUUAAUAUGUGUUUAUAUUUGAGAACCAAGGCUUGUGUGCUUACUAGGGCUUUAGCAGGAGGUAAGAGGUUGGGUAUCGUAGUACAUAAAUCAAUCUUUGCAGCAAAAGAUUUUAAGAAAUUUUCAGCUUUUAAACAUUUCAUGGCAUAAAAAAUGUAUUUUAUAUUGAAUCACAUAAUAUUAUAAUCAUUCUCAAGUGCGAAUGAUCGCAUCCUUUACACAAUUUUCUAUACAUUCUUUUUAUAGAGCACUUUAUAGGACCGAAUUUAUAAUUUAUAAAAUGGGAACGUAUGCAUUUAUGAAAGAGUCCAUUAUUUAGAUGCAUUUGCACGUAUCUUAAUCUUAGAGGGCGUAUUUGAAUUUUCAUGUAUUAUUUGAACAGAUGCAGGUGACGAACAAGCAGAGAUGAAAGUAAUUCCAAAAUCACGAACAGCAAUGCACGACUGACAGGACUCCACGAGCCAGGUUUGCAUAUUGUGAGGAAGACAUAUACACGCCUGCUUGUCAUGACCAAGCAAAGUAUGUGUUAUCACCCCAUUUUUUAGAAACAAUUAUGCCUAAGAUUGCUUCAAAUUUUUAUGGUUAAUAAUUACGUUUCAUCAGGGUCGGUAAAUAGUUGCAGAUUAAUGUUCAAUGACAGAAAUGAUAUUAUCCUAUCAUGAUCAUAUGGAGUAAGAGCUACGGUUAAAUAUUGAAAAAGUAAUUCGAAUCAAAGUAUUUGAUUGGUCUUCAUUAUGGGUAGUAAUUGAUUAAAUCAAAAAGAUAUAUCAAAAUGGUAUAAGAUACAUACAUAUAUAUUUGUAAUAUAAUAAAAAAAUUGAAAAAAAAAUAUUUUUUUUAAAUAUUUGACCUAAAUAAAAUUUGGGCUUUAUAAUUUAUACAGACAAGAUAGAUGAAACCCACCAUAAAUCUGAUCUACAGUUUCUUAUUAAUAUUUUUUAUUAUUAAAAAAAAUAAAGAAUUGAAUAAAACUCAAAUUAAUAUUUUGAUCUUAUCCAUUUGAGAUUUGAACUCGGGUUGCCGGUUAAAAGAAUACAAUUCCAAAAUCAGUGUCCGGACACCUCACUAUAAGUCUUCAGGAAAGAAAGCACAGAAUUGUAAUGAAAUUUGAGAUGGAGUUUUAGUUCAACGUAUCAGUGCCUCCAAGUCAGAUUUGUAGUUGAAAUGAAGUUAAUUUGCUUAUUACUUCCAAAUAUAUAGUGAGAAAACUGGCAUGCAUGUAUGGUAAAAGAACCUUUUUUUAUAUAUUAAGUUACUAAAAUCUCCGGACCCACUAACUUAUGGAUACUUUAAUAUAAACUUGAAUGCCUUUCACUUUAUUAUCGGGUUCUUUAGGUUAAUAUUAUUAAAGAAAUAUAAAAUCUUUACCAGAAUAUGAAGUAUAAGAGAGCGUGUGUGUGUGUCCCUCUCUCUCUCUCUCUCUCUCUCUCUAUAUAUAUACAUAUAUUUCUGUGGUUGAGAUGACAUCAACAUUGGUGUUUUUGUGCCCAUAGCCAUUAAAUGUGACGAUGGAUGGAGACUCGAGGAUGGUGACCGUAGCCUAACCCAUUUCCACAAACAUUAGAUGCUCAUUCCUUAAACUAGUUGCCUUGAAACCUCACACACAAAGCUAGAAAGAAAAAAGGCGAUGGAUUGAAGGAAUUGAACUAUUAACAAUUUCAAUUGGUACAUGUUGACAUGGAAAAUUUUACGCUAAGAAUAAUGCAAGUGAGAGGCUUUUCUUGAGAACCUGAUUAGUAAUACAUGAUAUAAAAGAUUAUGCGUUAACUAAAGCUCACAUCAGGCAUUGAAAAAUUGGGCUUAAAUCUAAUAAUAUACGGGGAUUAAUUUUAAAAGAAAAGAGAGAAAAUUUGGUCUAAAUCUAGCUAAGGAUAUAUGGAGAUUAAUUUUAAAAGAGAAGAGAAGAGAAGAGAAGAGAGAGGAUUGGGAUGGCCAAUAGGCCAGGUAUGCCAAAAAAUAUUAUGAUAUACCAUUAUACAUUCACUUACUGAGAAAUAUUGAAUAAUUUGGAUCUAAUCUAUAUAUGAUAACCAUGAGUUAAAAAUGAGACCAUAUCUUCAGUAUAUAUGUGGUCUAUGAUUAACACCAUCAAAAUUAAAGUCCACCUUAAAAAUUUGAAAUUAAAUAAUAAAUAAUUACUCCUACAUCAACGAGAAAAUCUCAAAGAAAAAAAAAAAAAACAUGUUCAAUCCACCAACUUAAUUAAUUAAAGAAUUGUUAGCAUAUCUGGAUAUUGAUCUUAAAAACUCAAUGUUAGACAAUUCUCACAUUUAAUAUAUAAAUUUGUAUUUUGUAAAUCUGCUGUACGGCCAAGGCGGAUGUACGGUACAGCAGGAAAAAAAAAAAAAACAUGUUCAAUCCACCAACUUAAUUAAUUAAAGAAUUGUUAGCAUAUCUGGAUAUUGAUCUUAAAAACUCAAUGUUAGACAAUUCUCACAUAUUCCGACCACAUCAAAAUCAAAUGCUUUUAUAAAUUCAUAAUUUUUGUCAAUUCUGCUCAGUUUAAUCAAUUUUACUGGCAGUUAGAGACUGCUAAUUUAGCUCAUUAACCAUGUUGGUUAAUUAAAAUUAAUAUAUGCAACGUGGCCAGUUCAGGGACGGUGAGAUUAGAACAGCCAGGGUGCUGCACAGCACAUACAAUUAAGAUAAAACCACAAUCAUUUGAAGAAUGAUAACUUUUGGCUAAGGUGGAGCCUAAGCCUCAAAAGCUGUCCUAUUGAAUGUCUCCAUUCAAAUAUAGUAUCUAUUGCGCUCUUUUAAAGCAGUGCGUAUACAGUUAAUACAUCUGAGACUGAAUAAAUAUAAUCGCUUCAAAUAAGGAAUGGAAUAAAUGAUCGGUCCAACAAAUCUUGGGUGGGACAGUUUUGAUAUGCUAAUCUAAUUAAAUUAUCAUUCAUCAGAUGUUUAAGUUAAUGAAUCAUAUUAUUUUACCAUCUGUUUAAUAGAAACUAUGUUAUAUAAGAUGAAAUUUUGAAAUGUUUCGCAUUAUUUUUUCAUUAAAAAAAUGAUCUUCUUUGACAUCUAAUUUUAGAUCAGAUUCACUAAUACCAACAUAUAUUAGCCCGAACCCAAAAUCAAGUACCUUUUUAAAUAUAAAUAAAAAUAAAGAAAACAUUGAUUCCAUUACCUAACCCAUCUUUUUAACUAUUUUCCUUUGAAAAAUGUGAACAUGAGUGAAUGUAUCCUUUUCACUUUUGGGCUUUAAGUAAUACUAAUAGUCAAUUUUGAGUUUAAAUUCAACAAAAUAAAGUAAUAAACCUACCUAAAUCAAAGCCGUACAUCUUAACGACUGGUUUCGAUUGGGUAUAAGACAUAUUUGUUUAGCUGAGUUUCGUUGACUUUUCUCUAUCUCAAUCAUGGGCAGACUUGAACCUUAGCUCUAUGUAAUUUGUAUCACAUAACAUGUUUUAAGCUGUCUUUGGUAUUGAAGUUGGGUAGUUGUAACUUAUAGUAUCUUUAUUAUUUUUGUCAAAAUUAAUAUUUAAAAGUUAUAUUUACUACACACUAAUAACUUUUAUUCUAUAGUUACAAUAUAUAUAAAAUAUUUUUAAAAUAGUUGUAGCUAAUAAGACCAUUACCAAAAGACUUUUCAAAUGAGAUUUUACCUCUCAUUUGAAGAGCCUUUUGAAACCUUUAAUUUAGUAUUAUAUUAUUUUUUAUUUUAUUAUUUUUCAAGGAGAGAAAUAUUUUGGUGGAAAAAAAAUUAAUUAAAAUAAUAUAAACUUAUUUUUAUUUGAAAAGUCUUUUGGGAGGAGAAUUACUUUUUCAUAUUUCUAUCUACCAUAUAAGUAAACAAAUAAGUAUUUGAGGAGGAAAAUUAGAAGAAUUUUUUAGUGAUGCCUAUAGCAACUCAAUACCAAAUAAAACCUUAUUUUGUCAAUGAAGUUAAAACCAAAACAAUUUCAUGCACACACGCGCGCGCGCACACACGCACACACACACACACAUAUAUAUAUAUAUAUAUAUGUAUGUAUAUUACGCAAUAAUAUUGUUAUACGUGUUGCUGCACCAAUUUUAGAGCUAAGUUGUCUCAUAAAUGAUAUAAUUUUGUUAUACCUACAAGAGAGUUUCUGAGUGGUAUCGAGUACUAUCAUGUCAUCUCAUCCAUAUAUACAAACAUACUUGCACAAUGCACUUGUGAUGAUCUAAAACUCAGUGAUAAUUUUAUUUAUUUAUUUAUUUUAUGCUUUGUGCAUAUGUGGUGGCAUAUAAUAUGUUAGUGGUGUGUUGAUCAAGAGUGUUAAGACCACUUGAGAUCAAGAGUGUUAAGACCACUUGAGACUUUCUCUAUGGGCAUAGCUGGUAUCAGACGUGUGCCACAAUUUUCUUCUGAUAAGAACCCUAAUAUGGCAUUUGAUUUGGCUUAUUUAGCAUCCAAUUUUGACUUUUGGCCCCCCACUUUUUUCAUCUAUCCUGAGUAAGUGACAAUCACCUUUUAAAAACGGGAAACAAAUGUUGUAUAUUUUGGAAUUUUAUUAAAUAGAAGGACAAAUAGUUGAUAAUUCAAUUCACCUAAGAAUGUGUCAUAUUAAAAUUCACAUGAUAAUUCUUUUUGUUGACUCUUACAUGAUUGUAAAAUGAUAUAUAUAUACAUGCAUAAAGUUUUUUUUUUUUUUGAGGUUCCCGACACAGUUGUACUGUCGUUCGUACUAGUGUAUUUAUUCUUGAUAUUUAUUUUAUUUAUUUUUAUGGGCAUAUAUAUAUGACCAAAAUUAGAAGAUGCAUGUGAGCAAUUUGCAGUAGCAUUAAUUGUACUCGACAUUCCACAAAAACUCAUUUGGUAUAAUAAAUUUUUAACGCGAUGCAUGUUGAUAUUAGUAAUCAUUUGUAGUAAAUUUAUAAGUUAUUUUGUAUAUUAACUGUCAAAUAUCUGCUUGACCUUGCUCAAAGUGAAAGCAUAAGUACUGAAAAAAUCCAGCCCUGUGAUGGAAAAAAACUGUGAUUAUAGCUUGAAUAUAAGAGGUUGUUUAUUUUAUUUUUUAUCUGAUGUUUGAAUUUUAAUUAUUUUAAGAUAUUUAUAGUUUUUAAUUUGUUUGUUUUUUUAAUCUCUAUGACAUAUUAUAUAAGAUGUUUAAGUGUUAAUGAAAAAAAUUAAAUGUUUUGACUUUUUUAUUUGAAUAGCAAAACAACUGAAUGGAAUUUUAAUAUUUUCUCUCAUUAAUAUCCCUAUUAAAUAAAUUUAUUUCUUAUAAUAUAAAUUAUCCUUUUAUUAAUUUUUUGGUUAUAUGCAUGCAUUCAACUAUUUAUUUAUUUUUGAAUAGUAAAAUUUUAGGUGAGUUCGUUUUAUAAUAGCCCAUCUCUUUGUAUUUAUAUUUACUAUUUUUAUAGUAAAUUUUGAAUUUUAUUUAAUACAUUAGUUUUAAUUCAAAUGAUUAGACAAUUCAUGUUUAGCUUAUAUAAUUAAAAGAAAUCAAUAUAUUAUACUAAAAAUAACAUUAUAAAUAUCAUAUAUUCAUGUAAAAAGAUACAUGUGUUAGAUACAUAUAUUUUAUUUUUCAUGUUUUGUUAAGUUAAAUAUUAUCAAAUUUAUUUUUCUAAUCAAAUAAUUUAUUUAUAACAUUUCAUGUAUUUAACCAAUAAUUAUAAGUAUUGUAAAUAUUUAUGAGUUUAUAUAAGUCAAAAUAUCAUAUUUCAAUUGUUUUUGGGAAAAAAAUUUAACACUUUUAUUCAUAUAUUAAAAAAAGAAAAAUAAGCAUGUUAUUCAAAUGUAUUUAGACCUAAUCAUACUUUAACCAAAUUUAGAUUUAAAAAGGAAAAAAAAAAGCUACCUAAGAUUCCUAAAGAUGAGACAAAGCACUCGUAACAUUCAAUAUAUGAACAUCAUAACAUUAAUUGAUAUCUAUAACCACGAUUAUGCUAGUGGAUAUGUUUAAUCUCACAGAUUUUCUCAAUCAUUACAGGUUUUACUUAUUCUGCAAAUGAAAAGAGCGAGUUAGAAGUCAUUUACUGAUGAACACUACCUUGGAUUUAAAUUAAAUGUCGGAUUACAAUAAGUUAUAAUGCUUAAAAAAGGAUUUAAUUAACUUGUUUAGUGAAGAUACAAGUUAAAGAUUCUUAAAAAUUUAGACAGUCAAGGAUUACCAAAAUUCUGUCAAAUUUCUAUUUGUGUAAAGGGGUUUUUUUCAUUUACAUAUGCACUCAUGACACACUAUAUUUUUAAAAUAAAUACCGGAGGGAUCAAUAAUCGAAUAUAAAUUAUGAAAUGCACCUAUAUGAGCUAUUAAAAAGAAAAAUCUUGAAAAUCAUACAAAAAUAAUCGAACUUGCAGGAUCUGGUAUAGAGCUCUGAUUUUUAAUGCUUAAUCCAUCUCUGGUUUCAUUUUUCUUCUUCAUUUUGUUCUUGCUUUGAUUCUCAUUAGUACCGAUGCCAGCUUCAUUUAAAAACGCUUCAUUAAUCUUAUACUCAGGGCCACAUGAAAUUCAAAACUAGGUUUCCUGUGUUCCCCCUUGGCAGCAGCUGGUUCCAAACUUUCUGCAGUUCUGUCAAGCACAGAAUUAUUUCUGUAGCUAAUUCUCCAACAUCGUGAACAACAUUGCAUCCGGACGGCUCUUGAUUUUGAUGAUCACUAUUACCUGAAUAAGACUUUGCUAAAUCUACUAAAAGGUACAAGUCAGUGAAUGGAUAACUCGAUUGAUCCACAUGCUCCAUAUCUACUUCUGUUUGAAUUGUUCCUGAAUGCCCACUGUCCACAUCCAAAACCCUAGAACUGUCACUUCUUCUCCGGGAGGAUGAAGUUGAAAGUAACACCAUGGAAUCAAUUUCCAAAGCAGUGUCCAUUAGACACUAUAAUAGCAGCAACGCCUGAGAAAAAAUCUCUGUCAUCAACUGGAGGUGAAAGUUGCUCUUGAUUUCCUGCACUCUUUCAGCUGAAUUUAAUGUAGAAGAAAAUGAAUAGGAAAAGGUUGGAGCCCUAUGUGCUUGUGCUUGUCUUUGCAGUAAUAGAGAACGGAGCCAAAUGGCUUCUCCCUCAGCAUUUGAGCCACUAUGCAUGUCUACAUCAUCUGGGAGAGCUGAAUCUGUGUUUUGCUCUCCACAAAUACCCCUGGAUGUCAGAAUCCUAUUUAUCAAGGAAUUAGCUCUUUCUCCUGUUUCCCUGGCACUGCUUCCAUCACGUGGCGGUGUCAAAUGAUGAGCCAAACCAAAUCUACUUCCAAGACAAUGGAUCAUCUCCUCUGGUGGAAGCUGUAAGCAGUUCUCUGAAUGGUUUGCCUUUAACUCUCAAACCGCCAUCCUUGCGGCCUAAGAGGGAUCUUAAGACUCAAGUCCUUUUCUGACUCACGUGUGCUAUUCUCACAACCAUACAUAGGCGUGACAUUCUUAACUGUGACCCACCCUCGCACACUGGAUAUUGCUUUGCAUCUGAAUGCACAUGUAACCGUUGGUAAAGGGGGGGGGGGGGGGGGGGGUGUGUCCCUAGCCAAAUCUAAACAGAUAUUGGAAUCGAAAAAACUCCCAUCAUUUCCAUUACCUUUCUCAUCAUCAUCUUUUUUAUCUGACACUUCAUCUUCCAAAAAUACAUUGUUGUUUUUGCAGGUUUUCGGUGCCUCAUUGGAUUUUUCCUCAGCAGCAACACUACUGACUGCCCUCACCUGUCUGUAAAGUAGGCACAUCAGCGGAAUGGCUGAGCAGCUGAUCCAAUUCCAUCGG
rnacentral:lncRNA from 1 species